rnacentral:misc_RNA from 1 species
GGUUGGUCCUGCUGCACUCUAGGUUUUCUUCUUCACUUUUCUGUUAGUAAUAUGCUCUAGAGCAUAUCAUUUGAUUGUAUCUUGUAAAUAUUUAUUCAUUAAUAAAUGGCAAAUAUUCUUUUCUGUUUAUAUAAGCUGUUUAUAUGUAAUGGAAAAACUCCUUUAAUACUAUGUUAGAUGUUCUAUUCUUAAGGUGUUAAGAAUAUGAGUGACAGAACAUACAUGCACAAGUAUUAUAAAUGUGGUUCGCAAUUGAGGAUACUUCAUAAGGGGCAUGACUUAUCUGGAAAUAUUGUCAUUUAUGUUUGUGUUCAUAGAUUAGUAUGAGAUACUAAUAGGAUGGAAUGGUGAAUCUCAUGCCAUAUGACAAACAUGGUGGGCACAAAUAAGAUAUGCAGGCCGAACCAGUGACACAAGAUGACUUGUACAUGGAGUUUACUCUUGUCAAUACAAAGUUAUCUAGAUCAUAAUAGUGCAUAUAAUCCCUUAACCUAAGAUAAUACAGUUAUCUUAUAUAUAGGUAGUUUGAGUUUGAUACUGCUUUCAUUCUUGUACUGUGUAUGGGUAUAUG